GGGGGGGGGGGGGGGGGGGGGGGGGGGGGGCGGGGCGGGGGGUGGAGGGGAGGGUUGGGGCGGCGGCAGAAGUGGAUUUGGGAUUAGUGGCGGACGGGUGAGGACCGCGUGGGCAACCUCACUCUUCGAAAGGGAUAGCCUCGGGAAACGGGGGGUAGUACCAUAUCGCAUUGCGGCGAAGCAUUUCGAUGCAGUGCAAGCUACGGCGGUAAGAGAUGGGCUCGCGUCCCAUUAACCAGAGGGUGAGGUAACGGCUCACCAUAGGAACGAUGGGUAACCGGCCUGAGAGGGUGAACGGUCACACUGGAACUGAGACACGGUCCAGACUCCUACGGGAUGCAGCAGUGGGGAAUAUUGCACAAUGGAGGGAACUCUGAUGCAGCGACGCCGCGUGAGUGAUGAAGGAAUUCGUUUCGUAAAACUCUGUUCUAUGGGAAGAAAAGGACUGUACCAUAGGAGAAAGCUCCGGCUAAAUACGUG
rnacentral:rRNA from 1 species